rnacentral:rRNA from 1 species
UGGGGAAUUUUCCGCAAUGGGCGAAAGCCUGACGGAGCAAUACCGCGUGAGGGAGGAAGGCUCUUGGGUUGUAAACCUCUUUUCUCAGGGAAGAACACAAUGACGGUACCUGAGGAAUCAGCAUCGGCUAACUCCGUGCCAGCAGCCGCGGUAAUACGGAGGAUGCAAGCGUUAUCCGGAAUGAUUGGGCGUAAAGCGUCCGCAGGUGGUGAUGUAAGUCUGCUGUCAAAGCGUCUAGCUCAACUAGAUACAGGCAGUGGAAACUACAUGACUAGAGUGCGUUCGGGGCAGAGGGAAUUCCUGGUGUAGCGGUGAAAUGCGUAGAUAUCAGGAAGAACACCGGUGGCGAAAGCGCUCUGCUAGGCCGCAACUGACACUGAGGGACGAAAGCUAGGGGAGCGAAUGGGAUUAGAUACCCCAGUAGUCCUAGCCGUAAACGAUGGAUACUAGGCGUGGCUUGUAUCGACCCGAGCCGUGCCGUAG